rnacentral:rRNA from 1 species
CAGUAGCCGCGGUAAUACGUAGGUGGCAAGCGCUGUCCGGAAUUAUUGGGCGUAAAGGGCUCGCAGGCGGUUUCUUAGGUCUGAUGUGAAAGCCCCCGGCUCAACCGGGGAGGGUCAUUGGAAACUGGGAAACUUGAGUGCAGAAGAGGAGAGUGGAAUUCCACGUGUAGCGGUGAAAUGCGUAGAGAUGUGGAGGAACACCAGUGGCGAAGGCGACUCUCUGGUCUGUAACUGACGCUGAGGAGCGAAAGCGUGGGGAGCGAACAGGAUUAGAUAUCCGCGUAGUCCCUGUCUCUUAUAC